rnacentral:tRNA from 1 species
GGGCGAUUAACUCAGCUGGCUAGAGUGUCACGUUUACACCGUGGAUGUCGGGGGUUCGAGUCCCUCAUCGCCCA